UACGUAUGGUGCAAGCGUUAUCCGGAUUUACUGGGUGUAAAGGGAGCGUAGGCGGCGCGUUAAGUCUGAUGUGAAAACCCGGGGCUCAACCACGGGAGUGCAUUGGAAACUGGCGAGCUGGAGUGCCGGAGAGGUAAGCGGAAUUCCUAGUGUAGCGGUGAAAUGCGUAGAUAUUAGGAGGAACACCAGUGGCGAAGGCGGCUUACUGGACGGCAACUGACGCUGAGGCUCGAAAGCGUGGGGAGCAAACAGG
rnacentral:rRNA from 1 species